GGGACCCUAGAAGGUCCAGUGAUGCGAGUAGAAGGGGAGUUGUGCAGAGUGGUAUGUCAGGGUUUAGGCGAGUCGUAGAGGAGGAUGUGCAGAGCAGAGAUGGUAGCUUUGGCAGGAGCAGGUUAGGAGGAGAUAUGGGUGAGUCUCAAGGAGGCACUCAGGCCUCGAGAUUUGUUCUCCCUCAGUCUCCGCCCUACCAGUGGGGGGCAGAGUACCCG
rnacentral:lncRNA from 1 species